UUUUGUUUUCUAUAUCGGAUAGGGCUGCCGGAGAGCUAAUCGACACCCGCAAAGCCGCGUUGUGCCAGCCCUCUCCCUCCGCCGUCCAUAUCGUGUGCAAGACCUGCCUCAGUAUGCUGUCGAAACCCACGAAUAUUGCUUCGUCAACGUCUUUCGUUUUGCAGCCAACAUUUCGAAAGAUGUCAUCAUGUGCAUUUUCAGUUAUAACCAUUUAAUUAAUGAGUUGAAGUUCAUGUUCUGAUCUCUCAAUUUAUGAGUUGAAUGAGUAUUCUGAUUCUCUCUGUUUCUUUAAAAUUCAACUUUAUGUCUAUUGCUUUUGAUUGGUUUUCGCAGAUUUCGUGUAUUAUAGAUAUAGCUACUACUAAAUGACUACAUUGUUUCAGUAAUAAUAAAAUGUAAUCCAUGGAGACUGCUUGGGUUUUGGUAGGUUUUGGGUUUUUUUGGGUUGAUUUGGGUCAUAAUUGUUUUUAACCUUGUAAAGUAAAUGUCUUUCGCCUUGACAGAGGUUGUAAGUAGUGGAAAUUAUGAGUUUGUAUUUUUGGUUUUAAUUGUUUUUAUUUCAAGAAGUAUUUGAUGCCAAGAUUCAUAGGAUUUUACACCUUUUUAGCAAUUUGUGGGUAAUUUACCUUGGGGUUUCACAGAGUUUUUCAAAGAAAUGCAAAUUCAAUUUGCAUUUAGGUUUUCUUCACUUUGUUUAUUUCUGUAAAGAACCAAUUCAACCCAAAAGCUUAAGCUGUUGGGUGAGGUUACAUUAAUGGUUUUUUAUAUUUCUCAACACACCCCUUCACACGAGAGCUUAAAGGGUGGACAAUGCACAGACCCACCUACCUAUGCGAACAAAGAAAUUCCACUUGAAAGAAAGUCGGGCGGCGAGGAUCGAACCUGGGACACGAGGCUCUGAUACCAUGUAAAGAACCAAUUCAACUCAAAAGCUUAAGCUGUUGGGUGAGGUUAUUUAUAUAUCUCAACAAUUUCUAUAGGAAGGUUCUUGGGUUAAUUCAUUUGUACGCAAUCAGAACGUGGGAGUAACCGAACUAUCUUUUGCUGCAUUGGGAAUACUUAUCCAAUUAGCCUUUUUCCACCAUAAUCUUGCACUAAAUGGAACAGUCGAAUAAGGCUGCAGAAUGUGAUGCCAAAGAGACUCAAGCAGAUCCAAAUCAAUGGAAUGGUAUUGGUGGAUAUUAUGGAUAUGGGAUAUAGUUGAAGGAGUUCCGCCCCAAAUUUUCCGUUUUCUUUUGUAAUCUUAUGAUACUUAUUUUCUGUUGCUUCUCUUUUCGUGUCUCGUGGAAAAGCUCUCAUUGCUCCUUCCUUCUUUUGUAUCAAUAGGCUUUGUUUGGGAGUUGAUUUUAGGAGGGGAAGAAAAUGAAA